UUGCUUGCAGGUUCUGACAUUAAGUCCUAAGUCUGGCUUAGGUACCGAAUUAGGCUUGAUGUGUAUUUUGUUAGUGUAGGCCUGACGUUGGCCUAUAUGUGUUUGAGUGAUAGCUUGUGAAGGGUGGUGGAUAUUAAAGCUAUGCGGUAUCAUUGGUUGGCCGAUCAUGUUCUUGUUUGAUUGUUGGUCGAUCGGCCAAUGGUAUUUGUAUAGUCUAAGUGUCUAACACUACAUGAGUACUGAACUCAAGCGUAUAUAUGGUUAACUAGGGAUUGCUUGUUGACUUAUUUUAAUGCAGGUUCCCGUUACUUGAAGCUAGAUCAUGGCAGGA
rnacentral:lncRNA from 1 species